UAAAAUUUCAUUUGGCAGAUUAUUUGCUCAAAAAGCCUUAAAACCCCUUUUCAAAACUCUCUUAACCUCUCCCCCUUUGGCCGACUCUUGGGCUUCACUGGCACAUAAUGUGCCUCCACCACCGCCGAAACCCAAAGCCCUUUUUUGGUUCCGUUUCCAUGCCAGAGAGACUCCGACGACAGAACCGCAGGCGUAUUUAGAUAAACUCUUCUCUUUUUCUUAUUUUCUUAUGCUAAAAAAAACCACAUGCAAACUUCAAAGAAGAAAACCCAUUCAAAAAAGAAAAGAAAAAUGGGACUUGAAAUCACCUUUCAAAAAUAAUUUCGGCUUGAUUUUUUUGUAUUUUGUAUUUCAGUGUGCGUAAUAUGCGUGUAACCUUACAAACGAUGAAAUCUCUUGGCUUUAUAGCUGAAGAGAUAGAAAUGAUAAAAAAGAAAUAAAAAAAUACAAUAUUUGUUCUUUGUUUUGCUGUGCGUUCGUCCUUUUUGCAGGUACAGGUGUGCGUGGCGCGAGUACGGGGGUUGUGCUGGCGUACGGAGGCGCGGGCGUGGCUGCUGGAACGCUGGAGCAUACGGAGGUGGUGGCGCGUGUGACGAGCUGAGCGGCGCCUAGGGUUUUCCUUCCCUCCUUUGGCUGAAAAAUGUUUAGGAUAGUUGGGCUAGUUAGGCUUUAGGGUUUCUAGAAUUUUGGGCUUGUUUAGGCCUGGGUUUAAGGUGUAAAUGGACAUUCAUUUUGGACUAUUUUAUUUUUAUUUGGGUUUUAUAUUUAUUUUUGUUUGUAACGGGCUGGGCAAAUUUGGCCUACUACAAUUAUUUUGUAAUUGUUUAAUGCCACACCAGCAAUUUCAUUCUUACUUUCAGGAUUUUCAUUUAAAUUUGAUUUUUUUGUUUAGGAUGAAAAUGCUGACGUAGUAUUAAAUUAUUGGUAAAAUGAUACAAAUAAUGUGGCGUUACUGUUUUAUACAAUAAUUCCCCCUUAAAUGAGUUGGUGUUACCCAUCAAUCAAUUUCCAUUUCAAUUGAAAAAUUAUCAAAAACUUAUUCUUUUUAUAAAGUAAAAAUUAUUAUUAAAAGGGUGGUUUGGAUAAGACACC
rnacentral:lncRNA from 1 species